rnacentral:lncRNA from 1 species
AUAAGUUCUCUAAUUAUUCUGCUUCAAACGGUGCAUAAAUGAGGGUGCUGUAUGGACACUGGCCUAAGGUAUUUAUUACAAUCAUGGAAGACUUUCUGCUCAGGGUCCAUAUGGAAAAGGGACCAUGGAUAAUAGAAACAAUGGAGACUGAUAGACAAGCCUUUGAUUUAAGUAUUGUGGAGAAAAUAAGAAAAUGGACUUUCUUCUUCUCUUCUGAUUUAGAAAUAGACAACGCAAGCUAAUAUGAAUAGGGGGAGAAAAUAAAGCUUCUUGUAUAUUCCUGGUGAUUCCCCCU